rnacentral:lncRNA from 1 species
CAGGAAGCAAAAUCACCACAUAACACCUUCACAAUUCAACAGAAUUACAAACAGAGGUCUACGGCCAACAGUCUACAAAAGACCGGCCCUUAAAAAGGAAUUGUCCUACGACCUACAACUUGGACACGCUCUCCAAUCCUUAUGACUUCACAUCUGCAACUCCUCAAGGCCAACCAAAGCUAUCCGGCUGCUCCGUCCACCAGGGACCUGAAAUGGUUAUUCAAUAACCACUGAGACCACGUCUCAGCAAGUUCAACCCCCUAAACCCCUAUUAGAAAGAAAAUACGCCCUGGGUGGCCUAGCCACACAACAUAGAGGACUUACCUUGCCUCGGUUCUUUCCUGCAUGUUAGCGCAAUUCGAAUCACUCAAUCACAGAUAGUAAGAGGAACUUAAACAAUCGGAACGUAUUCACUUUCAUAUAUCCAACAACCGCGGGGGUCCUGAUUAUAAGACUAAAUCGUUAUGACACGUCCCAUUCCACGCCACACAAUUCCGUCCCAUAAUCCGACACAUCAACAACACUCAACAUGCAUUCCAAUUGAUAUUCACUGCCACACAAGGGCAUAGCCUACUCGCAGUCCGGCUAUCUACUGGCAUAUAACCAGGCAUCGCCUCCCCCCCAUGGAGCGCGGCUUCGUCAGUACGUCGACGGCAUUCCCGAAGGAGCAUCGUCUCCCCCCCCUUGGAGCACGGCUUCGUCUCUACGUCGACGGCAUUCCCGAAGGAGCAUCGAUCCAGUCGGCCCAGCCUCUACUGCGAUCGGCACCACGUCACUCUCUUGACGGCAUUUCUAGAAGAACAAAGGUCCAGUCGGCCUAGCCACUACUGCGACCCGAGCCACGUCACUCUCCUGACGGCAUUUAUAUAAGAACAAAGGUCCAGUCGGCCUAGCCACUACUGCGACCCGAGCCUUUCAACUAGCACAAGACAAUUCGAUACCAAUCCUUUGAUACUUUACAUUCCGCUCACAUAAUCCAAUUACGAUAUUAACCAUUAACAAUCCCAUUUCAAUGCCGAACUCGACACUUGGGAUUUUCUAAAUAAAAUCCAUCCUUUUCACAAUCAACAGUCAAUUUACAUUAUCCAAUCAUCAAAUUCAAAUUCUAAAUGCACAGCAGCGAUCAGCACGAAAUUCUGAGAAUUUAGAGUCCCAAAUUAAUUUUUCGGAUUAUUAAAUAAUUAAAUUUAUUCCGAAAAUUAAUUAAAUAACAAUAUUCAUAUUUUUCACAAUCCACAUUCAAUUUAUAAUAUCCGACUAUCAAUUUCAAAAUCCGAAUACACAGCAGCGACCGGCACGAAAUUCUGAGAAUUUAGGGUCCCGACAAAAUUUUCGGAAUUUAAUAAAUAAUUAAAUUUAUUCCGAAAAUAAUUAAAUAAUAAUAUUUUAUUAAUUUCAAAUAAAAUAUAUUAUUAAUUCAUAUAAUAAUUUCGAAACAUUUAAAUAAAUCAAAAGUAAAUUCAUUUAAGUCAAAUCAAGGCUUAUUUUAAAUAAACCUACUUACCCUUAAUUAAGCACACCUUAAAUUAAAACAACACCAUAAUCUAAUCCACUCUUAAAUAACAUAAACUAACAACCUAAAAAUACUUAACAUAAACUAAACCUCCCUAAGCAUAAUUAACCCUCUAAGCGAGGUUUAGUGAGCUAAACUCACCGGAUUAACGAGCCGAGCGGACCAAAACGACGGGGGCGACGAGGAGAACAACUUUCCUCAAAGCGGGCCGAGCAUUCGAGCUCGGGAAGGCGGCCAAAACGGGCCAAACGUCCGCUGCACACCCAUUUUCGCAGCUACUGAUUUGGGGCUGGAGGAGGCGGAUCCGGCGCCGGUUGAGGCGCACAAGGGCCGAGAUGGGCCGAGGGACUUCCGGCGAGCUGAGGCGGGGGCGCACGGCGGCUCACGGCGGCGGGGACGAGCUCCGGCAGCUCCCGGAACCCACGAACCGAGACUGAGACGCAGCUGGGCGUCGGCCAAGCGCGGGCGAGCGCGGGCAACGGCGGAGCGCGAGACGGUGAGCGGCGACGGGCGGAGGCGUGCGGCUACUUCGACGGUGCUGCUUCGGCGUCCAUCCCAGAUCUGGGAUCUCGAG